AUUGAACGCUGGCGGCAGGCCUAACACAUGCAAGUCGAACGAGUGGCGGACGGGUGAGUAAUGUCUGGGAAACUGCCUGAUGGAGGGGGAUAACUACUGGAAACGGUAGCUAUUACCGCAUACCAUCGGAUGUGCCCAGCUGGGAUUAGCUCGUAGGUGGGGUAACGGCUCACUUAGGCGACGAUCCCUAGCUGGUCCGAGAGGAUGAUAAGGCACACUGGAACUGAGACACGGUGCAGAGUCCUAGGGGAGGCAGCAGUGGGGAAGAUUGCAAUAUGGGCGCAAGCGUGAUGCAGCCAUGCCGCGUGUAUGAAGAGGGCCUUCAGGUUGUAAAGUACUUUCAGCGGGGAGGCGUUACCCGCAGAAGAAGCACCGGCUAACUCCGUGCCAGCAGCCGCGGUAAUAC
rnacentral:rRNA from 1 species